GAAUGUUUUGUUCACGUGCCACCAGCAUAAGUGCCAGUAAGGUGACACUGGUAACGAUCACGCUCAAAUGGUGCUUUUUACAUGCCACCAGCACAGAAGCCAGACAGCUGCUCUGGCAGUGAUCCCACUUGGAUGGUGCUGUUAGUCCUUCACUGGCACGGAUGCCAGUCAUCGCAUU